GCCCACUUAGCUCAGUUGGUUAGAGCGCUGCGUUCACAUCGCAGAGGUCCUUGGUUCAAGUCCAUGAGUGGGCA
rnacentral:tRNA from 1 species